AGAGUUUGAUCAUGGCUCAGAUUGAACGCUGGCGGCAUGCUUUACACAUGCAAGUCGAACGGUAACAGGGAGCUUGCUCCGCUGACGAGUGGCGAACGGGUGAGUAAUAUAUCGGAACGUACCCAAGAGUGGGGGAUAACGUAGCGAAAGUUACGCUAAUACCGCAUACGAUCCAAGGAUGAAAGCAGGGGACCUUCGGGCCUUGUGCUCCUGGAGCGGCCGAUAUCUGAUUAGCUAGUUGGUGAGGUAAAGGCUCACCAAGGCGACGAUCAGUAGCUGGUCUGAGAGGACGACCAGCCACACUGGAACUGAGACACGGUCCAGACUCCUACGGGAGGCAGCAGUGGGGAAUUUUGGACAAUGGGCGCAAGCCUGAUCCAGCAAUGCCGCGUGAGUGAAGAAGGCCUUCGGGUUGUAAAGCUCUUUUGUCAGGGAAGAAACGGUAGGGGCUAAUAUCCUUUGCUAAUGACGGUACCUGAAGAAUAAGCACCGGCUAACUACGUGCCAGCAGCCGCGGUAAUACGUAGGGUGCAAGCGUUAAUCGGAAUUACUGGGCGUAAAGCGUGCGCAGGCGGUUUUGUAAGUCUGUCGUGAAAUCCCCGGGCUUAACCUGGGAAUUGCGAUGGAGACUGCAAGGCUAGAAUCUGGCAGAGGGGGGUAGAAUUCCACGUGUAGCAGUGAAAUGCGUAGAGAUGUGGAGGAACACCGAUGGCGAAGGCAGCCCCCUGGGUCAAGAUUGACGCUCAUGCACGAAAGCGUGGGGAGCAAACAGGAUUAGAUACCCUGGUGGUCCACGCCCUAAACGAUGUCUACUAGUUGUCGGGUCUUAAUUGACUUGUAACGCAGCUAACGCGUGAAGUAGACCGCCUGGGGAGUACGGUCGCAAGAUUAAAACUCAAAGGAAUUGACGGGGACCCGCACAAGCG
rnacentral:rRNA from 1 species